rnacentral:rRNA from 1 species
GUGGGGAAUUUUGGACAAUGGGGGCAACCCUGAUCCAGCCAUGCCGCGUGCGGGAAGAAGGCCUUCGGGUUGUAAACCGCUUUUGUCAGGGAAGAAAUCCUUUGGGUUAAUACCUCGGAGGGAUGACGGUACCUGAAGAAUAAGCACCGGCUAACUACGUGCCAGCAGCCGCGGUAAUACGUAGGGUGCGAGCGUUAAUCGGAAUUACUGGGCGUAAAGCGUGCGCAGGCGGUUUUGUAAGAUCGAUGUGAAAUCCCCGGGCUCUACCUGGGAACUGCAUUGGUGACUGCAAGGCUGGAGUGCGGCAGAGGGGGAUGGAAUUCCGCGUGUAGCAGUGAAAUGCGUAGAUAUGCGGAGGAACACCGAUGGCGAAGGCAAUCCCCUGGGCCUGCACUGACGCUCAUGCACGAAAGCGUGGGGAGCAAACAGGAUUAGAUACCCGAGUAGUCC